AGCAGCCGCGGUAAUUCCAGCUCCAAUAGCGUAUAUUAAAGUUGUUGCAGUUAAAAAGCUCGUAGUUGAAUUUCGGAAUCUGUCCGUCGGUCGGGCUUCACUGUCCGUACUGGCGUGAUGGGUUUCUACCUUCUGAAUAACCGGCAUGUCAUUAAUUUGGUGCGCCGGGGAAGCAGAACUAUUACCUUGAAAAAAUUAGAGUGCUUAAAGCAGGCUAUCGCCUGAAUAGAUUAGCAUGGAAUAAUAAAAUAGGACGGCAUGGUUCUAUUUUGUUGGUUUCUAGGAUCACCGUAAUGAUUAAUAGGGAUAGUUGGGGGCAUUAGUAUUCAAUUGUCAGAGGUGAAAUUCUUGGAUUUAUUGAAGACUAACUUCUGCGAAAGCAUUUGCCAAGGAUGUUUUCAUUAAUCAAGAACGAAAGUUAGGGGAUCGAAGACGAUCAGAUACCGUCGUAGUCUUAACCAUAAACUAUGCCGACUAGGGAUCGGACGAUGUUAAUUUUUUAAUGACUCG
rnacentral:rRNA from 1 species